rnacentral:rRNA from 1 species
AUUGAACGCUGGCGGCAUGACUUAACACAUGCAAGUCGAACGAGGGUAGCGAUACCCGAGUGGCGGACGGGUGAGUAACGCGUAGGAAUCUGCCCUGCAGAGGGGGACAACCUGGGGGAAACUCAGGCUAAUACCGCAUGCGCUCGAGAGAGGAAAGCGGGGGACCUUCGGGCCUCGCGCUGUGGGAGGAGCCUACGUCCGAUUAGCUAGUUGGUGGGGUAAUAGCCUACCAAGGCGACGAUCGGUAGCUGGUCUGAGAGGAUGAUCAGCCACACUGGGACUGAGACACGGCCCAGACUCCUACGGGAGGCAGCAGUGGGGAAUAUUGGACAAUGGGCGAAAGCCUGAUCCAGCAAUGCCGCGUGGGUGAGACGGCCUGCGGGUUGUAAAGCCCUUUAGGCGGGGAGGACGACGGGACGUGAAUAGCGUUUCGGAGUGACGUUACCCGCGGAAUAAGCACCGGCUAACUCCGUGCCAGCAGCCGCGGUAAGGUCGUCAU